AGCAGCUGCGGUUAAACAUAUUAUACAAAUAAAAUAGUUUGGUAUGUUAGUAUUAUUAAUUUAAAUUAUAAUUUAAUUUUUUUUUUAAGGUAAAAUUUAUUUUAAAAUUAUUUUUGUAAUUAAUUUAUUCUAUUAAAUUUUAUUUUAAACUAGGAUUAGAUACCCUAUUAUAAAAAUUUAAAAUUAAUUGCUAAAAAAUUAAUAGUUAUGUUCUUUAAAUUUAAAAAAUUUGGCGGUAUUUUAGUCUUAUUAGAGGAACCUGUUUUAUAAUUGAUAAUCCACGAUUAAUUUUACUUAUUUUUUUUUAUUCAUAUAUCGCUGUCAAGAAUGUAUUAAAAAAUUAAUUUUCUUUAAUUAUUUUUAUAAUUUAUGUUAAGUCAAGAUGUGGUUUAUAAAUAAGAAAAUAAUGGGUUACAAUAAAUUUUAUUUUUAGAAUUUUUUAUGAAAAUUAAAAUAAAAAUGGAUUUAAUAGUAAAUUUAAUUAUUUAAUUAAUAUGAAUAAAGAUCUAAAAUAUGUACAUAUUGCCCGUCAUUCUUAUAAAAAAUAAGACAAGUCGUAACAAAGUAAAUGUACUGGAAAGUGUAUUUAGAAAGA
rnacentral:rRNA from 1 species